rnacentral:rRNA from 1 species
GACGAACGCUGGCGGCGCGCUUAACACAUGCAAGUCGAACGGAAAGGCCUGCUUUCCCUUGUGGAUUGCGGGUACUCGAGUGGCGAACGGGUGAGUAACACGUGAGUGAUCUGCCCCCAACUUGGGUAUAAGCCUGGGAAACUGGGUCUAAUUCCCGAUAGGACUGCAGGGUGGUGCCUGUGGUGGAAAACGAUUUUCUAGUGGUUGGGGAUGAGCUCGCGGCCUAUCAGCUUGUUGGUGGGGUAAUGGCCUACCAAGGCGGCGACGGGUAGCCGGCCUGAGAGGGUGGACGGCCACAUUGGGACUGAGAUACGGCCCAGACUCCUACGGGAGGCAGCAGUGGGGAAUAUUGCACAAUGGGCGGAAGCCUGAUGCAGCGACGCCGCGUGGGGGAUGACGGCCUUCGGGUUGUAAACUCCUUUCGACCGCGAGGAAGCCGCCUGGUUGGAAGGGUGGUGACGGUAGUGGUAGAAGAAGCACCGGCUAACUACGUG